GUGGCGGACGGGUGAGUAACGCGUGGGUAACCUGCCUUAUACUGGGGGAUAACAGCCAGAAAUGGCUGCUAAUACCGCAUAAGCGCACAGAACCGCAUGGUUCGGUGUGAAAAACUCCGGUGGUAUAAGAUGGACCCGCGUUGGAUUAGCUAGUUGGCAGGGCAGCGGCCUACCAAGGCGACGAUCCAUAGCCGGCCUGAGAGGGUGAACGGCCACAUUGGGACUGAGACACGGCCCAGACUCCUACGGGAGGCAGCAGUGGGGAAUAUUGCACAAUGGGGGAAACCCUGAUGCAGCGACGCCGCGUGAAGGAAGAAGUAUCUCGGUAUGUAAACUUCUAUCAGCAGGGAAGAUAAUGACGGUACCUGACUAAGAAGCCCCGGCUAACUACGUGCCAGCAGCCGCGGUAAUACGUAGGGGGCAAGCGUUAUCCGGAUUUACUGGGUGUAAAGGGAGCGUAGACGGCGCAGCAAGUCUGAUGUGAAAGGCAGGGGCUUAACCCCUGGACUGCAUUGGAAACUGCUGUGCUUGAGUGCCGGAGGGGUAAGCGGAAUUCCUAGUGUAGCGGUGAAAUGCGUAGAUAUUAGGAGGAACACCAGUGGCGAAGGCGGCUUACUG
rnacentral:rRNA from 1 species